rnacentral:misc_RNA from 1 species
AAGUGCGAUAUUUAAUGCGAUUUGCAUGAAUCUGUGAGUCAUCGAGUCUUUGAACGCAACUUGCGCCUUUUAGGCAUGUCUGUUUGAGUACCUGUAAACCAAUGCAGCAAUGCGACCUGGUCCACCUGUGGAGUGGAUCUAAAUUGAUUAUAUACUACUCGGGGAGUGAUGUGUGGUGUUUUGGAGCUGGGACCAGUAGGUCUUUCCAAAGGGCUAUAUAUUUACUCUAUAAAUUAGGUCUCAAAUCAGGCAAGACUACCCGCUGAACUUAA